CCCAGGGUAAGUCGGGACCUAAGGCGAGGCCGACAGGCGUAGUCGAUGGACAACCGGUUGAUAUUCCGGUACCCGCUUUGAAGCGCCAAACAUCGAAUCAGGCGAUGCUAAGUCCGUGAAGCCGCCCUGAGCUCUUCGGAGCGUAGGGGAGUGGUGGAGCCGACGAACCAGACUUGUAGUAGGUGAGUGAUGGGGUGACGCAGGAAGGUAGUCCAGCCCGGGCGGUGGUUGUCCCGGGGUAAGGGUGUAGCCCGGAGGGUAGGCAAAUCCGUCC
rnacentral:rRNA from 1 species